rnacentral:lncRNA from 9 species
GGGGACCCCCCUGCAUUAUGAGAAAAGGCUGGUUCCCACUUUCAGACCCAGCAGGUUGAUAUGAAAUUGGAAUCAAACCUUCAUGAUUUGAAUGAGAGGCAAAAGCACGAAGUAAGGAGGGCAGCGUGUGCUUGAGAAUCCACAGCUGUAACUUCCGGGUGAGGACCCCCCCCCCGCCCCUGGGGCGGGGGGACUGCGGCAGGAGGGAGAGGAGAGGGAGCUCCCAGAAGAGACACAGCCCAGGGUCGUUGGCUGUAGACGUGAAGGCUCCAGUGG